rnacentral:rRNA from 1 species
GAUGAACGCUAGCGGCAGGCCUAACACAUGCAAGUCGAGGGGCAGCACAGAAACAGCAAUGUUUUGGUGGCGACCGGCGGACGGGUGCGUAACGCGUAUGCAACCUACCUUUAACAGGGGGAUAACGGAGAGAAAUUUCCACUAAUACCCCAUAACAUCGAUCAAGGCAUCUUGAUUGGUUGAAAACUCCGGGGGUUAAAGAUGGGCAUGCGUUGUAUUAGGUAGUUGGUGAGGCAAUGGCUCACCAAGCCUACGACACAGAGGGGGACUGAGAGGUUAGCCCCCCCCACUUGUACUGAUACACGGACCAGACUCCUACGCGAUGCAGCAGUGAGGAAUAUUGGUCAAUGGGGGCAACCCUGAACCGGCCAUGCCGCGUGCAGGAAGACGGCUCGAUGAGUUGUAAACUGCUUUUAAACAGGGAUAAAGCACAGUAUGUAUACUGUGUUGAAGGUACUGUAAGAAUAAGGAUCGUCUAACUCCGUGCUAGCCGCCGCAGUAA